AAGUAGCGCAGUGGUCAAAGUGCUCUGCCUGAUAUCUCAAGGUCCUGGGUUUGAAUCUGGCCAUU
rnacentral:tRNA from 14 species